ensembl:lncRNA LINC01138 long intergenic non-protein coding RNA 1138
GGGGCUGCUGCUUCGCCACCGGCUGCUUCGCUACGAAGGAGUUCCCGUGCUGUGGGAGCAAGUCCAGGACCGCUGUUCAGACCUGAAAGUCCCAGCUGUGUGUCAAGGCUGGAAGGGCUCCGGGGUGCGCGGGGCAAGUGACCGUGUGUAAAAAGGGUGAGGCGUGUGGAGCAGUAGCAAGACGGAAACGUGUGAACUCCUAAUUACCUGGCAUCGGAGAGGACGUUAUGAAGGCACGAGGAAAGGCUAUGGGAGCACAAAGCAAGAAAGUGGCCUUCUGCAAGCCAGGAAGAGAGGCCUCCCCAGAAACCAACUCUGUGAGCUCAUCGAUCUUUGACUUUUGGCCUCCAGAACAUUGAGAAAAUAAAAGUCUGUUGUUAAACCA